rnacentral:lncRNA from 10 species
GCCGAGGCACUUGGCCUUGCUGAGCUGGACUUCCUCCUCCUCCUCCUCAUGACCGGGGUGAAUUAGAACGUUUUUAAAGACACCCCCUUCCAAAUUCUGUAACACAUUGUAAUUGGAGAAGAAGGAAACUCUGCAAGGCUAAACUGUCAUUCACAACUUGGCUACACAUAGACUCUAGUCAGUUUUGUCUCCAGAACCUUAGGCUUUUGUAUUUUUUAAUUUUAAUUUCACUGUUAAUCCUUAUUGUCUUUUUUAUUAAGAUGUUGGAAAAGCAGGAGGUAGUUGUGCCUCAAUUAUUGCAAAAAUGUAACAAUAAAGUUCCUCAAAAUAAGAUCUGUUCCUCAUAGCUAUACUGUGUACACAUAAGACGCAUAUAGGGUUUUACUGAAAUCUAUUUUUAACUCUUAUGUUCGUAGAGAAAUUGUU